CCAGGUCUGGUCUGAAUUUGGGAGGGCUGACUUGCCUAAUUUUAGAGGUGUUGUGCCCAAGAGGAAUGGAGGCCGGGUUUCCUUGCUUCUUUACCAAUCUACUUAUCGGUUUCCUGUUCAACUCCCUUCCUUUGCUUAGUAGGUUUCUAGAGAUUGAGUGCUUUGUGGGAGCGAGCCCUGCUUUUCCCUUUGGUUUCUGAACUGCAUCUCCUUGGCACAGCUAGUGUUGUUGAGGUACUUUGGCUGAUGCUUAGAAAUGCAGUCCUGGAAAAAGAAAGUGUGCUAUCUAAUGCAGUGCCUACACAGACAAAAUCAAAGAUAAAUUGAUGUAAUUUCCUGGAGAAUGAGGAUCAUAAAGGCAGCUGAUCUGGACAAUUCCAAUUGGAUUAUAAAUUAAAGCAAUGAAAGGGGUCAGAAUCUAUUGGUGUUAAGAAGUCAGCCUCAGCACUAUUUAUACAGCAAAUGUUACAGAGAAAACCCCAAACCAAAAUGUAUUUCAAAAAAUGUUGGAGGAAAUGUUAUAUCUUUUUAUGUGCUUAAGAAAACAGUUAAAAAGAACUUCACAGCAUUGGGUCUAUUAAGCACAUUUAUUCCAGUGAUUUCCCAGAUAUUUCCAAGUUCCAUUUAAAACAGAAGUCUCCUAUCAAGGAAUCCUUUGAAAUUAUUUACUCUUUUAUGGUUGUAAAGUAUGGAAAUGUAAUGCUUUUAAUGGAAACCCUAAUAAACGGCACAUGCUACAAAGUGUCUACUGAUGUACUUUAUAGGUUAGGAUUCUUACAUCACACUGACUUGCCAGUCUACAUUCCUGGUCCAGUGAAUGCUCCAGUGAUGUAGAA
rnacentral:lncRNA from 1 species